rfam:Schistosoma margrebowiei strain Zambia genome assembly, scaffold: SMRZ_scaffold0005409
AUCUAGCUGAUGAGUUCUAAAUAGGACGAAACAUGAGCCCUGGAU